UGAGAAGCACAAUCCCUUGCAGGGGUC
rnacentral:piRNA from 1 species